rnacentral:rRNA from 1 species
GACGAACGCUGGCGGCGUGCCUAAUACAUGCAAGUCGAACGCAGUGGGGACGGUUGAGUAACACGUGGGUAAGCUCCCAUCAGAGGGGAUAACGCUUGGAAACAGGUGCUAAACCGAUAAGGAUGGCUGGACGCGCGGUGCAUUAGCUAGUUGGUGAGGUAACGGCUCACCAAGGCCACGGUGCAUAGCGGACCUGAGAGGGUGAUCGGCCACACUGGGACUGAGACACGGCCCAGACUCCUACGGGAGGCAGCAGUAGGGAAUCUUCGGCAAUGGACGAAAGUCUGACCGAGCAACGCCGCGUGAGUGAAGAAGGUUUUCGGAUCGUAAAACUCUGUUGUUAGAGAAGCGGUAUCUAACCAGAAAGCCACGGCUAACUACGUGCCAGCAGCCGCGGUAAUAC